rnacentral:ribozyme from 13 species
AAAAUUGUUUUCUUUUUGUAAAUUUUUCACUCUUUCUCUCAUUUGCUCCUCCUCUCCUCUUUCUUUCUCCUCUCCUUCUCCCUGUUUUUCAAAAAAAGAGGAAAGAAGGAGAGAAA